AUUGCAGAGUUGCAGAAACUCAAUAAAACCGUCACGGAAGACAUCGUGGUGAAGCUGAAACACGUUGUCUCUGAAAACAACAAAAUGAUACAGAGGUUACAGAGAUACAAUACGGAAAUCGGUAAUGUCACGAAAUCGGUUUCAGAAAAGCAAGCGGCCAUCAGGGCAGCAAAGAAUACAUUGAGAAACGCGGAGAGCCCCACCGAAUAUGAUCGGAUUAUGGACGUCGUCAAUGACAUGAUCAAAUCGCAGAAACACUGUCAGGGAGAUGACCUCGAACAUGAACAAAACGUUACUGGAGAGAACUACAAUGGAACAAAAUGCUACAAGAAUCAACAUAGAACUAAUCCAGGAACUCUUGCAAGGCAUAAAUUUAGAAGAAAAUUGAAGAAGGGCACAAAAUUAUCUUUUUCCCGAACUUGGUGCAGUGGCGGCCGGUGUCAGCGCCCAUAAUUAUGUAUCGGUAGACGACCUCAAGAAGACCAGGCAGCAAGUGUACGCCGUGAAAGUCAUCGACGGACGAAGGAGAUUUGCUAAAAUCGUUAAAUCAGGUCAGAAUUCCAAGACCCUCUACGUCCACAGACUGAAGGAUGAACUUCACAUCCCUCCCACCGCGCAGCUUAUUGAGUACGAAGAGGUAAAGAAGUUGACAUACGACUGCGAUCGCCUGACGUUUAUGGACCUGAGAGCCAGAGGGAGACCUCCCGUGAGAAUCGUCAUCAAAUACUACAGCGAAACGAACUUCAUCAAUCACGUUAAAAACCACGUCCUCCUGUGUACGGGGGAAAGGGGUCCUACGUACGCAAACUCCAAAAUCCUCGAGGUGAUGCAAAAGGGAAAAUCCAACGAGUUCCUCGUCUUGGGAGACUUCGAGCGGAACAACGGAACUGCCGGCAGGGCGCUCGUGUCGGGGAGAGAGGGAACAUGAGUGGUGGAAGAAUGGCGGCAGCUGGGGGAUGUUGUCAACGUUUGUAAGUCAGCAUGGAUCCACCGAGGCGACGGCGUCGCAGUUUCGCAUCCUCACUCAGAGGUGUUUGGCGUCGCAGAUAUUUGCCUGCGUCAGCGAGGGACUCGAUCAAUUGAGACGUUACGUUCAGGAGUGUGACGAUGUGAGGGAGAUCAAAAUAAGCGACUGUGGAAGGGUUAUCCAUUGCUGAAGUCAAGCAUUUGCAGAGGACGAGCAAGCAAGAAGGGAAAGAAAGUGGAAUGGUUACCCAUUGCCUACGUCAAGCAAACAAGCAGGGAAAGAAAGAACGAUAAGAAAACAAUAGUGGAAAGAACUGCUUAUAGUUUUUGUUUCCGACGUUCAGUUUUGCUAUAAAGAAAAUGUGGUAUAGUUCACAGAUAUACAAAUCAUCACUCAGCACUAUGCUCAUUUACAUCUUUUCCACAAUCCUUUUCUAUGUAUGUCUGGCGUGAAUGAAGUAACCCACUGAUCUCCUUACACCUGUGUAGGUUCCCUAA